rnacentral:rRNA from 1 species
AUGGCGGGAACUGACUCCUCGGCGUCAUCGAGACAAAGCAGUUUCAACUCAUUAGCAAAGGACCUAGAACUUCCUUUGGAGCAAGGGUGCCUCACCAUCGUUGUACUUGGGGCUUCUGGAGAUCUUGCCAAGAAGAAAACGUUCCCGGCACUCUACCACCUUUUUGAGCAGGGGUUCUUACAAUCUGGUGAAGUGCAUAUAGUGGGGUAUGCGAGAACAAAUCUUUCUGAUGAUGGGUUGAGAGGGCGCAUCCGUGUAUACCUUAAAGGAGCCUCAGAGGAACAUGUUUCAGAAUUCUUGCAAUUGAUAAAAUAUGUCAGUGGUUCCUAUGACAGUGGAGAAGGUUUUGAAAAACUGAACAAGGAAAUAUCAGAUUAUGAGAUGUCAAACAACUCAGGAAGCUCCCGUAGGCUCUUUUAUUUGGCAUUGCCUCCAUCUGUCUACCCUUCAGUGUGCAAAAUGAUCCGAACAUAUUGCAUGAGUCCAACUUCUCGCGCUGGAUGGACUAGAGUAAUUGUUGAGAAGCCCUUUGGAAGGGACCUGGACUCUGCAGAAGAAUUAAGUUCCCAACUUGGGGAGCUAUUCGAGGAAGAUCAACUCUACAGGAUUGACCACUACUUGGGAAAAGAGUUGGUCCAAAACUUGCUUGUGCUUCGUUUUGCGAACCGUUUGUUCUUACCACUUUGGAACCGUGACAAUGUUGAUAAUAUACAGAUUGUAUUCAGGGAGGACUUCGGAACUGAUGGACGUGGAGGAUAUUUUGAUCAAUAUGGAAUCAUCCGUGAUAUCAUUCAGAACCAUUUGUUGCAGGUUUUCUGUUUGGUUGCAAUGGAAAAGCCUGUAUCUCUUAAGCCUGAGCACAUUAGAGAUGAGAAAGUCAAGGUUCUGCAAUCCGUGAACCCGAUAAAGGACGAAGAGGUAGUCCUUGGACAAUAUCAGGGCUACAAGGAUGACCCUACAGUGCCAGAUGACUCUAAUACCCCAACGUUUGCAUCUAUUGUACUUAGGGUACACAAUGAAAGAUGGGAAGGUGUUCCUUUCAUUCUUAAAGCUGGUAAAGCAUUAAACUCAAGAAAAGCAGAAAUUCGUGUGCAGUUCAAGGAUGUUCCCGGUGACAUUUUUAAAUGUAAGAAGCAGGGAAGAAAUGAGUUUGUCAUACGCCUCCAGCCAUCAGAAGCCAUGUACAUGAAACUAACUGUGAAGAAACCUGGAUUGGAAAUGGCUACUGAACAGAGUGAACUUGAUCUGUCAUAUGGGAUGCGUUACCAAGAUGUCAAAAUUCCAGAGGCAUAUGAGCGCCUCAUUUUGGAUACAAUAAGAGGAGACCAGCAACACUUUGUGCGCCGAGAUGAGCUGAAGGCUGCCUGGCAGAUCUUCACUCCCUUGUUGCACGACAUCGACGCCGGCAAGCUGAAGGCUGUUUCAUACAAGCCUGGCAGCCGAGGCCCCAAGGAAGCUGAUGAACUGAGUGAGAAGGUUGGGUACAUGCAGACCCACGGUUACAUCUGGAUACCACCCACCCUUGCAUAG